AAAACAAAAUAUUAUUUUUAUGAUUGACAACAAAAAUUUAAUUUUGUAUAAUUUCGGUUUCUUUUAGUUAUGCAUAUUCUUAGUUAUAACGUGGAAUAAAACUUGUGCUGACAAAGCUUCAUCCGCAAUGGCCCUACUAUACUUACUAAGUUGAUAUGGUUUAUCCAGAUAGUAAUCGUAUAGAACCCAAUUUCUGGAAAAUUUCAACCAAUGGCAGAAAUCAUUUUAGUUCUCUCCAUUCCCAAAUAUUCCUCGCUAUUGUGGUAUAGCUUGGACGUUGCUAUGUAAACAUCUCCGAUCUCCCAAUUCCUAUGACAGUAGGGUCUAUCUAGCCGGAGGAAACCCGGAUUUUUAUCCAACGCAAAACUAUCAACUCGUCAGCUUUACUAAAAAUUGUGAAGAAUAUUUUACAACAACAAAAAAAUACGGAGAUAUCCUGAUCGCAUAGAUCUAACCAAACUUUUUAAGAACUGACGAAACUGAACGAUGGUAAAAUCGGAACAAUAAUAGUUACAGAGCAAUAUUUGCUUAAAAGAAAAA